rnacentral:rRNA from 1 species
GACGAACGCUGGCGGCGUGCCUAAUACAUGCAAGUAGAACGCUGAAGGAGGAGCUUGCUUCUCUGGAUGAGUUGCGAACGGGUGAGUAACGCGUAGGUAACCUGCCUGGUAGCGGGGGAUAACUAUUGGAAACGAUAGCUAAUACCGCAUAAUAGUAGAUGUUGCAUGACAUUUGCCUAAAAGGUGCAAUUGCAUCACUACCAGAUGGACCUGCGUUGUAUUAGCUAGUUGGUGGGGUAACGGCUCACCAAGGCGACGAUACAUAGCCGACCUGAGAGGGUGAUCGGCCACACUGGGACUGAGACACGGCCCAGAUUCCUACGGGAGGCAGCAGUAGGGAAUCUUCGGCAAUGGACGGAAGUCUGACCGAGCAACGCCGCGUGAGUGAAGAAGGUUUUCGGAUCGUAAAGCUCUGUUGUAAGAGAAGAACGAGUGUGAGAGUGGAAAGUUCACACUGUGACGGUAUCUUACCAGAAAGGGACGGCUAACUACGUG